rnacentral:rRNA from 1 species
UUAAGUGGCUUUGAGAUUAGCGGAACGCUCUGGAAAGGGCGGCCAUAGUGGGUGAUAGCCCUGUACGCGAAAAUCUCUUGGUCAUGAAAUCGAGUAGGACGGGGCACGAGAAACCUUGUCUGAAUAUGGGGGGACCAUCCUCCAAGGCUAAAUACUACUGACUGACCGAUAGUGAACCAGUACCGUGAGGGAAAGGCGAAAAGAACCCCGGAGAGGGGAGUGAAAUAGAUCCUGAAACCGUAUGCGUACAAGCAGUGGGAGCCCACUUUGUUGGGUGACUGCGUACCUUUUGUAUAAUGGGUCAGCGACUUAUUUUCAGUGGCGAGCUUAACCGAAUAGGGGAGGCGUAGCGAAAGCGAGUCUUAAUAGGGCGUCUAGUCGCUGGGAAUAGACCCGAAACCGGGCGAUCUAUCCAUGGGCAGGUUGAAGGUUAGGUAACACUGACUGGAGGACCGAACCGACUACCGUUGAAAAGUUAGCGGAUGACCUGUGGAUCGGAGUGAAAGGCUAAUCAAGCUCGGAGAUAGCUGGUUCUCCUCGAAAGCUAUUUAGGUAGCGCCUCAUGUAUCACUGUAGGGGGUAGAGCACUGUUUCGGCUAGGGGGUCAUCCCGACUUACCAAACCGAUGCAAACUCCGAAUACCUACAAGUGCCGAGCAUGGGAGACACACGGCGGGUGCUAACGUCCGUCGUGAAAAGGGAAACAACCCAGACCGUCAGCUAAGGUCCCAAAGUCAUGGUUAAGUGGGAAACGAUGUGGGAAGGCUUAGACAGCUAGGAGGUUGGCUUAGAAGCAGCCACCCUUUAAAGAAAGCGUAAUAGCUCACUAGUCGAGUCGGCCUGCGCGGAAGAUGUAACGGGGCUCAAACCAUGCACCGAAGCUACGGGUAUCACCUU